rnacentral:rRNA from 1 species
AUUGAACGCUGGCGGCAGGCCUAACACAUGCAAGUCGAGCGGAUGAAGGGAGUUUGCUCCUGGAUUCAGCGGCGGACGGGUGAGUAAUGCCUAGGAAUCUGCCUGGUAGUGGGGGAUAACGUCCGGAAACGGGCGCUAAUACCGCAUACGUCCUGAGGGAGAAAGUGGGGGAUCUUCGGACCUCACGCUAUCAGAUGAGCCUAGGUCGGAUUAGCUAGUUGGUGGGGUAAAGGCCUACCAAGGCGACGAUCCGUAACUGGUCUGAGAGGAUGAUCAGUCACACUGGAACUGAGACACGGUCCAGACUCCUACGGGAGGCAGCAGUGGGGAAUAUUGGACAAUGGGCGAAAGCCUGAUCCAGCCAUGCCGCGUGUGUGAAGAAGGUCUUCGGAUUGUAAAGCACUUUAAGUUGGGAGGAAGGGCAGUAAGUUAAUACCUUGCUGUGUUGACGUUACCAACAGAAUAAGCACCGGCUAACUUCGUG